CGACGGCCGAAAAAACGCACGGUGUGAUCCCGGCACAAAACAACCAACAGCAGAGGACAUUCAGGACCACAAUCUGAAUAUUACAGACAACACCAACAAGUACCAGAUUCAAAACUGUUUGUAAGAGGGAAGUCCCCCGUAGUGGAGCCAGAGCAGCGCGCUGCCUCGGUUGACAGCAGAAGUAAAUAACACAGGCAGACCAUGGGCUGCUCAGCUUGUUUAUGAUCAACUGGACGGACGCAGUGAUACUACGUUCUUUUGGCCGUUAAGAAGACAGAUCGCUCGUCUGUUUAGGGACAGUGAGAGACAGCCAGCAGUUCAAUUGAGUGGUAAAAACACUCGCAGAGCGGAGCGUGGAGCGGGAGAGACAACAGGAACUUGACUGACAUCUGUGCUUUGCCUGUGUGCAGAAGAACAAGGACCAGAUCUCCAGUCUUCUCUGUCACAUCCCAACCCCC
ensembl:lncRNA